rnacentral:tRNA from 1 species
GAGUGGCGCAGCGGUAGCGCAGUUGACUGUUAAUCAAUGGGGCGCCGGUUCGAAUCCGGCCU